UACGUAGGUGGCAAGCGUUGUCCGGAUUUACUGGGCGUAAAGGGCGUGCAGGCGGUUUGUUAAGUGCAGGGUGAAAGCUCCCGGCUCAACUGGGAGAGGUCCUUGCAUACUGGCGAACUCGAGGGAGGCAGAGGAAAGUGGAAUUCCCGGUGUAGUGGUGAUAUGCGUAGAUAUCGGGAGGAACACCUGUGGCGAAGGCGGCUUUCUGGGCCUUACCUGACGCUGAGACGCGAAAGCGUGGGGGAGCGAACCGG
rnacentral:rRNA from 1 species